GUUUUAUCUUUUAUUAAUAAAGUUAAGUACUGUGUGAACCUGUUCUCUCAGUUAUGAUUAACCAUAACCAGUCUGUAAGCCGUCUGAAAGCUGGAUAAUAUCUGCUGAUAAAGCCUGUGACCUUGAGCGUCUCGGCCAAUCGCAGCGGCGCACACGUGUGCAUCAGCGUCUCCGUGCUUUAUUCUUCAUUCACUGCUGGAGUUUGAGAGGAAGGGAAAGACAUGGACGUCUAACUCUAUGAUUUCUCCAGACGGAUAACAUCUGACCUUCAUCACGGCCUGUGAACAAACUCUCAUCUGGACGAGUGUGAUGGCAGGUCCGCUUGAGCCUCCUCUGCUGCCCCCAUCUGGUGAGGAGGAGGUUUUCUUCAAGAAUUACAUCCCACCUGCUCGAGACGCCAUCCAUCUGCCCAUUCACGUCUUCUACAUCAUCCUCGCCUCCAUCAUCAUAGUGAUGACGCUCUACGCCAUCAUCGGCCACCUCAUCAAAGACCUGAUACACGACUUGGCAGACUAUCUGUUCGGCCAGCAGCCGGAGGAGGUGCGGCUCAAUCUGUGCGAGGCCAAAGACAAAUUCAUGGCCGACUGGUGUCCUGAGACCAGCCCGGAGCUGGAGGAGAUGGCCCGCGCAGAGGAGAUCCGGGUGGUGAUGGAGGGCAACAGAUACACCCCGGCCAUCUGGAUCAUCUCUGACGGGACUGAGCCCAGAGCGCCGCGCACCGGCCCGCGGGUCGUGUUCGGCAAGAACGUCUAGAGCAGGGGAGUCCAGACCUGGAGAGUUUAGCUCAGCUUGCCUGUGGAUGUUUCUAGUCAGUCUGAAGACCUUAAUAUGUCUUCAAAACAAGACGAGGGUAGAGCAGAAAUCAGCUUCCAGCCGUCAGACUCACAGACAGAUCUGCAGCACUGACACACUCACUGAUAUUUCAGCACAGAGGACUGAUGCUUUAUGUUCAGCUUAUUGCAGUGUGACUGGAGACGCCUGCUGGACUCUGCUGGAACUGCAUCACAAUCAUUUGCACUAAGACCCUCAUUUAGUUUGUCUGUCCUUUCUGAUGGCUGAGCUCAUUCCUUAUGAAAAAAAAUAACCUUAUUGAUUAUUAUUUUUACAACCACAGUUAUAAAACAAAUACCAUGGUUGAACUAUAGUGUAGCAAAACCAUGGCUAAUUUGUGGUUACUAUGGUUUAACUAGUAACCAUGGUGUUUUGGUUUUAUUUAUAGAAAAACUAUACUUUAUUUUCGCAAGGGAUUAAGUUGAUGAUUUAAAUCAGGUGUAAUGCAAAAUGCACAGCUUUCUGACUCUCAUCCAUCAUUCUACACGAUUUAAACAACAAAACAUUAAUUCAAAAAGGCCUUUUAUUCAAAUCAGUAUGUAUUUAAGCACACGCAAUAUUGUACACUGACACUGACACAAGACACUGCUUGAAGAGAACUGAACCGAGCUGGACGAUGCUCACUGAGUCAAUGCUGAACUGACUUUAACCAAAAAA
ensembl:lncRNA